rnacentral:rRNA from 1 species
GACGAACGCUGGCGGCGUGCUUAACACAUGCAAGUCGAACGGAAAGGCCCUGCUUUUGUGGGAUGCUCAAGUGGCGAACGGGUGAGUAACACGUGAGUAGCCUGCCCUUGACUUUGGGAGAACUUCAGGAAACUGGGGCUCAUACCGGAUAUGAACUCCUGCUGCAUGGUGUGGGUUGGAGAGUUUCGUCGGUUGAUGAUGGACGCGCGGCUUAUCAUCUUGUUGGUGGGGUAGUGGAUUAACAAGGCUGUGACGGGUAGCCGGACUGAGGGGGUGACAGGCCACAUUGGGACUGAGAUACGGCCCAGACUCAUACGGGAGGAAGCAGUGGGGAACUUAGCACAAUGGGCGGAAUCAGUAUGCAGCAACGCCGCGUGCGGGAUGACGGCCUUCGGGUUGUAACCCGCUUUCGACUGUGACGAAGCGUGAGUGACGGUAAUGGGUAAAGAAGCACCGGCUAACUACGUG